rnacentral:rRNA from 1 species
GAAGCGAUGAAGGACGUGGCUACCGGCGAAACGUUUCGGGGAGUUGGAAGUAAGCUUUGAUCCGAAAAUAUCCGAAUGAGGAAACUCUUUAACUUCUUCUUGAAUCUAUAAAGAAAGAAAGAGCAAACCUAGGGAAUUGAAACAUCUUAGUACCUAGAGGAAAAGAAAGUAAAAACGAUUCCCUUAGUAGUGGCGAACGAAAAGGGAACAGCCUAAACAUUUUUUUUUUCUUAAAAAGAAAUGGGUUGUGGGAAAGAAAAUUCUGUAAAGAGAAAAGAAAUUAAAGUUUAUCUUUAAAAGAAAAGAAAUUAGGUGAAAAAAUUGGAAAAUUUUACCAAAGAAAGUGAUAGUCUUGUAACCGAAAAUUUCUUAAAAAAUCUUAUAUCCCGAGUAGCAUGGGGCACGUGGAAUCCCGUGUGAAUCUGCGAGGACCACCUCGUAAGGCUAAAUAUUCCUGGAUGUCCGAUAGCGAAGAGUACCGCGAGGGAAAGGUGAAAAGAACCCCGGGAGGGGAGUGAAAUAGAACGUGAAAUUGCAAGCCCACAAACAGAAGAAGAACGACUUAGCGUUUAACUUCGUGCCUGUUGAAGAAUGUUCCGGCGACUUAAAGUUAGUGGCAUGGUUAAGAUAGAGAUAUUGGAGCCAUAGUGAAAGCGAGCUUGAAUAGAGCGUAAAUUGUCACUAGUUUUAGACCCGAACCCGGUUGAUCUAACCAUGGCCAGGAUGAAACUUAGGUAACACUGAAUGGAGGUCCGAACCGACUGAUGUUGAAAAAUCAGCGGAUGAGUUGUGGUUAGGGGUGAAAUGCCAAUCGAAACCGGAGCUAGCUGGUUCUCCCCGAAAUGUAUUUAGGUGCAGCGGUUAAUCUUUUAGCGUAGGGGUAAAGCACUGUUUCGGUGCGGGCUGGUAACUCGGUACCAAAUCGAGGCAAACUCUGAAUACUACGUGUACAAUUAACCAGUAAGACUAUGGGGGAUAAGCUUCAUAGUCAAGAGGGAAACAGCCCAGAUCACCAGCUAAGGCCCCUAAAUAAUUACUAAGUGAUAAAGGAAGUGGAAGGGCUUUGACAACCAGGAGGUUUGCUUAGAAGCAGCAAUCCUUUAAAAAGUGCGUAAUAGCUUACUGGUCUAGCAAUUCUGCGCCGAAAACUUAUGGGACUAAGUAAUUUGCCGAAGCUGUGAGAUAUUAACUUUUUAAUAUCGGUAGGGGAGCGUUCUGCGGUAGGUUGAAGUGUUAGCGAAAGCGGGCAUGGACGAAACAGAAGUGAGAAUGUCGGAUUGAGUAGCGAAAACAUUGGUGAGAAUCCAAUGCUCCGAAAACCUAAGGUUUCCUCCGCAAGGCUCGUCCACGGAGGGUGAGUCAGGACCUAAGGUGAGGCUGAGAAGCGUAGCUGAUGGACAAUAGGUUAAUAUUCCUAUACUAAUUUUUACUGGUAUCGAGGGACGAAGAAGGCUAAACUAGCCAGAGAUUGGUUACUGGUUUAAAUUUUCGAGGUGUUGAUAGUUAGUGAAAAUAACUUGAGCUGAGAAAUGAAUACAAGAUUUUAAAAAUCAAAGUAGUUGAUGUCAUACUUCCAAGAAAAGCUCGCUAUGCCUUAAGUAAAAGUUACCUGUACCUUAAACCGACACAGGUAGGUAGGUAGAGAAUACCAAGGAGCGCGGGAGAACCCUCCUUAAGGAACUCGGCAAAAUAACUCUGUAACUUCGGAAGAAAGAGUGCCUUUUAGGCUGCAAUAUCAAGUUCCAAGCAACUGUUUAGCAAAAACACAGGUCUCCGCUAAGUUGUAAAACGACGUAUGGAGGCUGACGCCUGCCCAGUGCUGGAAGGUUAAAGAAGUCGGUUAGCGUAAGCAAAGCUGGUAACUGAAGCCCCAGUGAACGGCGGCCGUAACUAUAACGGUCCUAAGGUAGCGAAAUUCCUUGUCAGGUAAGUUCUGACCCGCACGAAUGGCGUAAUGAUUUGGAAGCUGUCUCGAGGAGGGACUCGGUGAAAUAGAACUGUCUGUGAAGAUGCGGACUACCUGCGCCUGGACAGUAAGACCCUAUGAAGCUUUACUGUAGCCUGAAAUUGGAUUUCGAUUUUCUUUGCGCAGAAUAGGUGGGAGACAUUGAAAAAGUUCUUUCGGGAAUUUUGGAGUCAACAGUGAGAUACCACUCUGAGAAAAUUAAAAUUCUAACUUCAUACCGUUAGCCGGUUGAAAGACAGUUUCAGGUGGGCAGUUUGACUGGGGCGGUCGCCUCCUAAAAGGUAACGGAGGCGUACAAAGGUUUCCUCAGAUCGGUCAGAAAUCGAUCUUCGAGUGCAAAGGCAAAAGGAAGCUUAACUGUGAGACAAACAAGUCGAGCAGAGACGAAAGUCGGUCUUAGUGAUCUGACGAUGCUGUGUGGAAAGGUCGUCACUCAACGGAUAAAAGUUACUCUAGGGAUAACAGGCUGAUCUCCCCCAAGAGUUCUUAUCGACGGGGAGGUUUGGCACCUCAAAUAGGGGGCAAUUUACCGAAAGGUAUUUUGACAAUUUAGCUAUAUGCUGGGAAAUCCGUCCACUAAUAAUGGUUCAAAGUAUCUUAAAAUACUUCUUUUUUUUCUGGAAGUGAAAAUUUUUAAGUGCGGAUAAUCAGCAGGGAAGUUCCUACUUGUUCAAUCUAUUGACUCGUUCAAAGCUUUUGCUUUCUUUUAGGAACCCCUCAACGACUACACGCUGAACAACCAAAGAAUCGACUUGUCGAACCUGGUUGAUGAUAUAGUCUGAUCUUCUAGGCGACUAGAAGGGGGGAAACCCCACAAUUUCCUUUUGUUAAUUUUUAUGACAAUUUACACAUAAAGUAAGUGAUUUAUUAAUUGGAACUUUAACUUGGGGGGAUGGAAAUUUGCAAACUACUUAAUUGGGCAAAACAUGGCCGAUAUCGAGCGAUUCAUAAAGCAAUUCAUGCUCCUUACAUUAUGCAUAAAUACGAAGUUUUAAAAGACUAUUGUCAAAGCGAACCUAUCUAUAGUUCUGUUUUUGAUGAAAGAACUCAAAAAUCGUAUUACCGUUAUACUUUUAAUACCGUAACUUCAGAUGAUUUUCGUUUUUUUGGUCAAUUAUUUUACCACCAAGAUGAAGAAAAAAAUUGGAAAAAGCAUGUUCCAACAAAUAUUGCCAAAUAUUUAACUGGUCCCGCUUUAGCUUAUUGGUAUAUGGAUGAUGGCGCGUUAAAAUGGAAAGGACGAUCCAAUGCGGUUCGAUUAUGUACCGACUCUUUUUCUAACGAGGAUGUCAAUAUUUUACUCAAAGCUUUAGAAAACAAAUUUCAAUUAAAAGUUUCUCUUCAAAAGAAAAAUGGAAUUUUACGAAUCUCAAUCUUAGAAGAAUUUUAUCCAGUAUUAAAAAAAAUAAUCACUCCUUUUUUAUUACCGUGUAUGUACUACAAAUUUCCGGAUGGAAAUCAAGGUGUUUAUGAAGGGGAGGAUAUCUCUUUUGAUAUACAUAAUGUUUUUCAACCACGUGAUUUGUAAAAAAAAAUUAAAAAGUUAAAAUUUGUUAACAUAAUGCGAUGUCGGCUCAUCGCAUCCUGGGGCGGUAGUACGUCCCAAGGGUUGGGCUGUUCGCCCAUUAAAGCGGUACGUGAGCUGGGUUCAGAACGUCGCGAGACAGUUCGGUCCAUAUCCGGCGUGGGCGUUGGAGUAUUGAGAGUGACCUUUCUCUAGUACGAGAGGACCGGGAAAGACAUACCUCUAGUGUACCAGUUAUUGUGCCAACAGUAGACGCUGGGUAGCUAUGUAUGGUUAGGAUAACCGCUGAAAGCAUCU